GUAGUUUCCUACUGAUUACAAAAGCAAAUUUGUCUGUUGUAUGCAUAACACAAACUACAAUGCCUGUUUUUGAAACCAGAGAAGGCGAAAUUGUGGUUAUACUGUAGUUAUUUCAUGUUAUGGAAUAUUAAUACAUAUAUUUGGCAUAAAACCUUGGUGAAAAGGUUUUUAUCUCUUAACAUGAUCAUCUGUGGCCAGGGAUAGAAAACUUUUACGAAAUCCUUAAAAAUAUACUAUCUUUUGGAGAGAUUUCAAAGAAUAUAAAAUCAAGGUAUUGUAGGCCUACUAACAUGAUGAAGUUUUUCAUCUCUUGGCGAUGGGCAUCCUUGCCUUCAUAUGUAUUAAAUCUCUUGUUUUAAGUAGCUGACCCUGAGGACUUUCUCAUCUUACAGUACUAUGGAUAAGGCCCAUCUAAGGAUUGCUUCAGCAAAAGCUGUCCUGUGCUAGUCAAAGUACUAGGAUAAAAAAAUACCAAUUGACUUCUUUUAUUUGACUUUAAGAUAUCACAUUCUAGAGCUUUUCUUUCAUGCAAAAGUUUAUUAGAAAUGUUUGUUUACUUGGCAUUUUAUUUCUGUUCUUAGUAUGAAGAUAAAACGUGUGUAUUGUUCCAUUGCCUUUUGUUGUCUAAAAGCAGAUAAUGUUUGCUUAUCCAGAGAUUGUAAUAUCUUUCCCACUAGUGGCAGCUGACUUUAUCUUGGCACAUACGAUGUCUACCCACAAGCUAGAAAGGUAUUCCUUAGCAAAGUACACCAAUAUAUAAAGGAAAGGCUUUCGGAUGCGAAGUAUGCUUGUGGCUUCUUAUUCAGCAUAACUGGAUCCCAUUCAUUCAAGUUUAAAGAGCAUAGUUCCUGGAUCAUGAUGAGCAAAAUAUUAGAGUGCGGAAAUGUAUGCCAUCUUUAGCCAUUACAAAAGUAUUUGGCAUUAAAACCUUCAUGAAAAGCUUUUUACCAUUUAAAGAUGCUCAUUAGCACCCAUGGAUAGAAAACAUAUUGGAAAUCCUAAAGACCAUAAUUUCUUUGGGAGAGAUUUCAAAGGAUACAAAAU